UACGUAGGGUGCAAGCGUUGUCCGGAAUUAUUGGGCGUAAAGAGCUCGUAGGCGGUCUGUCGCGUCGGCUGUGAAAUCCCGGAGCUCAACUCCGGGUCUGCAGUCGAUACGGGCAAACUGGAGUACUGCAGGGGAGACUGGAAUUCCUGGUGUAGCGGUGAAAUGCGCAGAUAUCAGGAGGAACACCGGUGGCGAAGGCGGGUCUCUGGGCAGUAACUGACGCUGGAGGAGCGAAAGCGUGGGGAGCGAACAGG
rnacentral:rRNA from 1 species